rnacentral:rRNA from 1 species
GAAAGCCCCUGGCUCAACUGGGGGAGGCCGUUCGAUACUGUUCGGCUCGAGGGUGAGAGAGGGAAGCGGAAUUCCCGGUGUAGCGGUGGAAUGCGUAGAGAUCGGGAGGAACACCAGUGGCGAAAGCGGCUUCCUGGUUCACCCCUGACGCUGAGAGCGCGAAAGCGUGGGGAGCAAACGGGAUUAGAUACCCCGGUAGUCCACGCUCUAAACGAUGAGGGCUAGGUGUUGGUGGGAUUUCCCAUCUGUGCCGAAGCUAACGCGUUAAGCCCUCCGCCUGGGGACUACGAACGCAAGUUUAAAACUCAAAGGAAUUGACGGGGGCCCGCACAAGCAGCGGAGCGUGGGGUUUAAUUCGACGCAACGCGAAGAACCUUACCAGGACUUGACAUGACCAGGACAGCGGCGGAAACGUCGUCUCCCCGCAAGGGGCCUGGCCACAGGUGUUGCAUGGCUGUCGUCAGCUCGGGUCGGGAGAUGUUGGGUUAAGUCCCGAAACGAGCGCAACCCCUAUCGUGUGUUGUAUCACUCACACGAGACUGCCGAGAGAAACUCGGAGGAAGGUGGGGAUGACGUCAAGUCAGCAUGGCCCUUACGUCCUGGGCUACACCCACGCUACAAUGGCCGGUACAACGGGCGGCGAAACCGCGAGGUGGAGCGAAUCCCUUAAAGCCGGUCUCAGUUCGGAUUGUAGGCUGCAACUCGCCUGCAUGAAGCCGGAGUUGCUAGUAACCGCCGGUCAGCAUACGGCGGUGAAUAUGUUCCCGGGCCUUGUACACACCGCCCGUCACGUCAUGAAAGCUGGCAACACCCGAAGCCGGUGGGCCAACCGCAAGGAGGCAGCCGUCGAAGGUGGGGUUGGUGAUUGGGACGAAGUCGUAACAAGGUAGCCGUACCGGAAGGUGCGGCUG